rnacentral:rRNA from 1 species
ACGAACGCUGGCGGCAUGCCUAAGACAUGCAAGUCGAACGAGAUGGUCUUUUGAAAGAGGAGUGCUUGCACAAUUCUCGAUAUAGAUUCAUCUAGUGGCGCACGGGUGAGUAACACGUGGGCAAUCUACCCGGAAGACUGGGAUAACAGUGCGAAAGUGCUGCUAAUACCGGAUAUUUUUCACGAAGUCGCAUGACUUUGUGCAGAAAGUUUUUCGCUUCCGGAUGAGCCCGCGUCCCAUUAGCUAGUUGGUGAGGUAACGGCUCACAAAGGCGACGAUGGGUAGCUG